rnacentral:rRNA from 1 species
CAGUAGCCGCGGUAAUACGAAGGGGGCUAGCGUUGUUCGGAUUUACUGGGCGUAAAGGGCGCGUAGGCGGACUGAUAGGUCAGGGGUGAAAUCCCAAGGCUCAACCUUGGAACUGCCUUUGAUACUGUUUGUCUUGAGUUCGAGAGAGGUAAGUGGAACUGCGAGUGUAGAGGUGAAAUUCGUAGAUAUUCGCAAGAACACAGUGGCGAAGGCGGCUUACCGGCUCGAAACUGACGCUGAGGCGCGAAAGCGUGGGGAGCAAACAGGAUUAGAUACCCGAGUAGUCCCUGUCUCUUAUACA